GGUGAUUUUUAUGAUCCAAAACGAAUUCGGGACAGAAAAUGAAAAAAAUUUUGACCCGCUCUGAAUCCGCACCGCCAUAGUCCGCCCUGAAUCCAUCCCGAAAAUUAUUUAUAUUUUAAGAAAAUACUCCUAAAAAAUAAUAUAUUCACAAAAAAAUUUCAAAAUACAAAUAAGCUAACACUCUCAUUUCUCAUAUAUUUGAUAUUUUUGAAUUUUACUU
rnacentral:lncRNA from 1 species